rnacentral:rRNA from 1 species
UACGAAGGGGGCUAGCGUUGCUCGGAAUCACUGGGCGUAAAGCGCACGUAGGCGGACUCUUAAGUCGGUGGUGAAAUCCUGGAGCUCAACUCCAGAACUGCCUUCGAUACUGAGAGUCUCGAGUCCGAGAGAGGUGAGUGGAACUGCGAGUGUAGAGGUGAAAUUUCGUAGAUAUUGGAAGAACACCAGUGGCGAAGGCGGCUCACUGGACGACUGUUGACGCUGAGGUGGCGGA